rnacentral:rRNA from 1 species
GACGAACGCUGGCGGCGUGCUUAACACAUGCAAGUCGAACGGAAAGGCCCUGCUUUUGUGGGGUGCUCGAGUGGCGAACGGGUGUGUAACACGUGAGUCACCUGCCCUUGACUGUGGGAUAACUUCAGGAAACUGGGGCUAAUACCGGAUAGGAGCUCCUGCUGCAUGGUGGGGGUUGGAAAGUUUCGGCGGUUGGGGAUGGACUCGCGGCUUAUCAGCUUGUUGGUGGGGGAGUGGCUUACCAAGGCUUUGACGGGUAGCCGGCCUGAGAGGGUGACCGGCCACAUUGGGACUGAGAUACGGCCCAGACUCCUACGGGAGGCAGCAGUGGGGAAUAUUGCACAAUGGGCGCAAGCCUGAUGCAGCAACGCCGCGUGCGGGAUGACGGCCUUCGGGUUGUAAACCUCUUUCGCCUGUGACGAAGCGUGAGUGACGGUACUGGGUAAAGAAGCACCGGCUAACUACGUG